rnacentral:misc_RNA from 1 species
UUUCGCAUUCGUCUAUUCGCUCGCUCCUUCCUUCUUGGCACGCUGGCCCUUCAGACAGGGGGGGGGGGUGUGGAAAGGUCUGUUGGUCGGCAUCGUGUGCUCUCGGGGGGUCCUCCCCCGGGUGGUUUGUCCCUCCCCGGGGAAGCAACAGGGAUUCGUACGCAGAGAGUGUGGGGUUGGGCGCUCAGGCGCCCCCCAUCCGCCCUUGGACUGACCAGGGCGUGGGCUGGGUAAUGAUCCUUCCGCAGGUUCACCUACAGAAA